rnacentral:rRNA from 1 species
GACGAACGCUGGCGGCGUGCUCAACACAUGCAAGUCGAACGGAAAGGCCCUGCUUUUGUGGGGUGCUCGAGUGGCGAACGGGUGGGUAACACGUGAGUAACCUGCCCUUGACUUUGGGAUAACUUCAGGAAACUGGGGCUAAUACCGGAUAGGAGCUCCUGCUGCAUGGUGGGGGUUGGAAAGUUUCGGCGGUUGGGGAUGGACUCGCGGCUUAUCAGCUUGUUGGUGGGGUAGUGGCUUACCAAGGCUUUGACGGGUAGCCGGCCUGAGAGGGUGACCGGCCACAUUGGGACUGAGAUACGGCCCAGACUCCUACGGGAGGCAGCAGUGGGGAAUAUUGCACAAUGGGCGGAAGCCUGAUGCAGCAACGCCGCGUGCGGGAUGACGGCCUUCGGGUUGUAAACCGCUUUCGCCUGUGACGAAGCGUGAGUGACGGUAAUGGGUAAAGAAGCACCGGCUAACUACGUGCCAGCAGCCGCGGUGAUACGUAGGGUGCGAGCGUUGUCCGGAUUUAUUGGGCGUAAAGGGCUCGUAGGUGGUUGAUCGCGUCGGAAGUGUAAUCUUGGGGCUUAACCCUGAGCGUGCUUUCGAUACGGGUUGACUUGAGGAAGGUAGGGGAGAAUGGAAUUCCUGGUGGAGCGGUGGAAUGCGCAGAUAUCAGGAGGAACACCAGUGGCGAAGGCGGUUCUCUGGGCCUUUCCUGACGCUGAGGAGCGAAAGCGUGGGGAGCGAACAGGCUUAGAUACCCUGGUAGUCCACGCUGUAAACGGUGGGUACUAGGUGUGGGGUCCAUUCCACGGGUUCCGUGCCGUAGCUAACGCUUUAAGUACCCCGCCUGGGGAGUACGGCCGCAAGGCUAAAACUCAAAGGAAUUGACGGGGCCCCGCACAAGCGGCGGAGCAUGCGGAUUAAUUCGAUGCAACGCGUAGAACCUUACCUGGGUUUGACAUGGAUCGGGAGUGCUCAGAGAUGGGUGUGCCUCUUUUGGGGUCGGUUCACAGGUGGUGCAUGCCUGUCGUCAGCUCGUGUCGUGAGAUGUUGGGUUAAGUCCCGCAACGAGCGCAACCCUUGUUCACUGUUGCCAGCACGUUAUGGUGGGGACUCAGUGGAGACCGCCGGGGUCAACUCGGAGGAAGGUGGGGAUGACGUCAAGUCAUCAUGCCCCUUAUGUCCAGGGCUUCACGCAUGCUACAAUGGCUGGUACAGAGAGUGGCGAGCCUGUGAGGGUGAGCGAAUCUCGGAAAGCCGGUCUCAGUUCGGAUUGGGGUCUGCAACUCGACCUCAUGAAGUCGGAGUCGCUAGUAAUCGCAGAUCAGCAACGCUGCGGUGAAUACGUUCCCGGGGCU